UGCAGAUGUUUUUAUUUAAACAGGCAUAUUACGAUUCAGAGACGCUCAGCUUUACUUGGAAAAAGUUGUUGCAACAAAUUUCACUGCCCAGUGUUUUUAAAAGGACCAGAUGGCACAGGUUGAAUGCACACCUUCCAAUUCACUUCAGAAAGGCAGAUGUCCAUAGAGUAAAUUGACAAGCAGAAUCAUACCAAUUUCCAAUGGAAGCUGAUUGAAAAAGGGAAAGUAAAAAAAAAAAAUCUUAAAAUAUAUCAACUUCUCUUUUCAUUAUAAUGAAAAACAUGAGGGCUUUUCACACAUGAAAUAGUAAACACUGGGUGAAUGUAAACCCCAGGUAAACUGAAUGCUGGUUUAUCUUGCUUCAUGUUUCACACAGAAUAUAAUUUACCUGGGAUUGACAAAUAAUCCUGGGUUUUCAUACGCUGCUGUUUUACACUAUACAUUACUAAACCCCAAGUAAACAUUCUUAUAUGCACAUUUUCUGCAUCAGUGUCACUGAUUGGACAGACACUGCAUGCGAUAUGAUACAAAAAUGCCCAAGCACUGCACAUCCUCAUAUUACAUACAGCUGACUUUAAUAUCAAGUUUAUCCUGAAGGUACUCUUUUAGAUUAUAAAAGUAAGAAAUAUACAGUCUCUUCUUGACCCUGACUGUUGUGUUUUCUGUAAGCAUUUGACAUUUUUAACAUCCUGUCAAAUGCUGAAUUUAAUUUACUGUUUUUAUACAGUGCUUAUUUUUGCAGUGACUGUCCAAAGCACUUGAAUAUGAGGCAGGCAAUUGGUUGUCUGUCUAUUGAUAAAGGGUUAACAAUGCUAAAGCCGUAGAAACCCUUUUCUGGAGUAGGCUUUCAUUACACCAAGUAAAAGUGGUGCUAACCCCCAUUACAAGUGUGAAAUGUUCUUUACUUGGGGUUAAAAGUGAUGUUUACACUGUACAUAUUUAUUUAUAAAUAAAUACAU
rnacentral:lncRNA from 1 species